rnacentral:rRNA from 1 species
CAGUGGGGAAUAUUGCACAAUCGGGGGAAGCCCUGAUGCAGCCAUGCCGCGUGUGUGAAGAAGGCCUUCGGGUUGUAAAGCACUUUCAGUAGGGAGGAAGGUAGUGUAGUUAACACCUGCACUAUUUGACGUUACCUACAGAAGAAAGCACCGGCUAACUCCGUGCCAGCAGCCGCGGUAAUACGGAGGGUGCGAGCGUUAAUCGGAAUUACUGGGCGUAAAGCGCAUGCAGGCGGCCUGUUAAGUCAGAUGUGAAAGCCCGGGGCUUAACCUCGGAAUUGCAUUUGAAACUGGCAGGCUAGAGUCUUGUAGAGGGGGGUAGGAAUUUCAGGUGUAGCGGUGAAAUGCGUAGAGAUCUGAAGGAAUACCAGUGGCGAAGGCGGCCCCCUCGGACAAAGACUGACGCUCAGAUGCGAAAGCGUGGGGAGCAAACAGGAUUAGAUACCCUGGUAG